UAAGGGAGGGAGGGGGCGGCGGCGUCGGCGAGACGAGGUCCAAGGGGCGGCGGCGGCGGCGGCGAGAUGAGGUCCAAGCGGCUGCGGCGGCGACUAGACGAGUUCCAAGCGGCGGCGGCGGCGGCGGCGACGAGACGAGGUCCAAGCGGCUGCGGCGGCGACUAGGCGAGUUCCUCUAGCAACCUCUCAGCUAGCCCCUACUCGCCUCCGUACGCCGUCUAGGACUUGAACCCCGACAUACUGCCCGAGUUUGCGCGCAUAAGCGACGCCGCGGACUUGGAGAGGUUCUACUUUAAAAAAGUGGGCUGCCGUCUUCUCCGCCGGCGCGUACCGUUCCACGACGGGCGUGACCGGGAGCUGUUCCGGGCACGGUGGUUGUCCUUUUCCUAGACGUUGUGAUUUGACCGCUGCCGCCUCCGCCGCCGCGGGUUCUACCUAUAGGGUUUUAGGCUGGACCAGUACCCCGGUGGCGUUUAGAGGGGGACGGACCGGAGGGCAGCGAAGCAGGUAAAGAAGGGGUGGCGGAGCCUCUCGUUCUAGUAGAACCCGCUGGCGCCCUUGGCGUACAAUGCGAAGUUGUAGCAGCUACCGAGGGCGAUGUACCUAUGGGACGGUACGGAGGUGCCUGAGUUCGUCUACGGCUACCAGUAGAGGCAGGGAGGUUGCCUGCACGUGGAAGGACUACCGCUUCUGUGACCGCUGGAGAUGUAGUAGCUACCGGAGGAGGUAGGCCUGUUCCGCCUCCACGCGGGCGUCAAGCUCCGGGACCACACCUCCCCCAAGGGGUUCAGGCGGCAUAGAUCGUCCAAGACCGUGACGCUGUAGGAGGGAGACGGCGGCACCUAGUCGUUUGGUGUUCGUGCCGUACCAGAAGCCAGUGCGGGAGCAGCUGCUGUCGUAGACGAAGAGGUAGACACCUCGGCUCCCACGGCCGUGGAUGACGAAGGUGUAGGGUUGAGCACUCACCUCGUUUCGACCGCUGACCGAGUACGGGAAGUUACCGUUCCGCCUAAUACAGGGGCUCGAACCUGAGACCAAACCGUAGUGUGUUCUGUUGGUGGGAACGCGACGGCUGGAGAGUCCGGAGCAGUCUCCCCUCCUCGACAGCGGUCUGUUCUACGCCUAGACCCUCGCACUACUGGACGGUCUCCUCACCGUCGGUUUCUCGAACGUGUUAAGGACACGGCAGUCGGAACCAAGACCGUCUAAGUAGUAGCACCUGAAGAACUUACAGUACUUUAAGUUGUUCCUUACCUUGCUCUACCUACGGCAGUUCCUUAAACGGGAGAAGUGGCCAUACCUCGAUCGGAAGUCGUUGCCGUUUCCGUUCUUACCGUCUUUACCACGGUCGUUUCUGUUACCGGUGGUGUCAUCACCGUGGGUAACGAGGCCGUUACUCUCAACGUUGACGUCACAGAGACCGUUGUUCUUACCGCCGUUUCCGUUUCCCCACUACGCGCCGGAGGCACACUAGUUCGUGUUUAGGGUAGCGAUGUACAAAUUCUUCGUUGACUCCUAGCUCCGUCACGAGACUUACUAAGUCGUUCAGUAAAACUUGACGUCGAUCACAUACGUACGAACGUAAGACCGUGAAUUAAACGAUAGUCACACCACAACGACGAGGGACAAAUGUCGUUCAUCAUAACUGGAUCACAAUACAGUCGAAUUUAUUAGCUAGAACAAUAUACUACUUUGUACGAUAUUUAACAUGGAGGGACCACAAUAAGACCUAGUAAGGUAGAUCAUAAGUCUAAACGACGACUGGUUUAUUAACAAACUACAAAUAAAACUUGACAACACGAUCAACUUCUU
rnacentral:rRNA from 1 species